AAUAUCGCACAAUGGAGGAAACUCUGAUGCAGCGACGCCGCGUGAUUGAAGAAGGUCUUCGGAUCGUAAAACUCUGUCCUUGGUGAAGAUAAUGACGGUAGCCAAGGAGGAAGCCCCGGCUAGCUACGUGCCAGCAGCCGCGGUAAUACGUAGGAGGCUAGCGUUGUCCGGAUUUACUGGGCGUAAAGGGUGAGUAGGUGGUUAGGUAUGUCAGAUGUAAUAGGCGUGGGCUUAACUAACGUUAGCAUUUGAAACUACAUAACUUGAGUGCGGGAGAGGUAAGUGGAAUUCCUAGUGUAGCGGUGAAAUGCGUAGAUAUUAGGAGGAACACCAGUGGCGAAGGCGACUUACUGGACCGUAACUAACGCUGAGUCACGAAAGCGUGGGGAGCGAACAGG
rnacentral:rRNA from 1 species